rnacentral:rRNA from 1 species
AGUGAACGCUGGCGGUAGGCCUAACACAUGCAAGUCGAACGGCAGCACAGUAAGAGCUUGCUCUUACGGGUGGCGAGUGGCGGACGGGUGAGGAAUACAUCGGAAUCUACUUUUUCGUGGGGGAUAACGUAGGGAAACUUACGCUAAUACCGCAUACGACCUACGGGUGAAAGCAGGGGAUCUUCGGACCUUGCGCGAUUGAAUGAGCCGAUGUCGGAUUAGCUAGUUGGCGGGGUAAAGGCCCACCAAGGCGACGAUCCGUAGCUGGUCUGAGAGGAUGAUCAGCCACACUGGAACUGAGACACGGUCCAGACUCCUACGGGAGGCAGCAUUGGGGAAUAUUGGACAAAGGGCGCAAGCCUGAUCCAGCCAUACCGCGUGGGUGAAGAAGGCCUUCGGGUUGUAAAGCCCUUUUGUUGGGAAAGAAAAGCAGCAGGUUAAUACCCCGCUGUUCUGACGGUACCCAAAGAAUAAGCACCGGCUAACUUCGUG